UCUCCUGGGCAUCAUAAGUGUGAAAACUUAUUUUAGAUAAUUGAUAGCAGACCCCUUUCUGGUUUGUUUCACAGAUGUGUCGGCCCAGAUACCUCACCGGUGUUUGACGUGCAGAAAAGUGAGGCGAAUCCUAAUGGCUCGCUUGUUGCGCUUAAAAAAUAAAGUGCGACGCCCAGUUCCAUUGGUACUGACUGCGGCAAGGCGACUGAAAUGUGCUGUUCCCACUUUGAGGCGGCAGAACAGGAAAGUUCGCACCCUGCAUGAAGUCUUCCGAAAGUUAAGACGAAAGAAUUCCUGUAUAAAGAAAAACAGUUUUGAGGCAAAGAUCAAGCAGCUUCCAAAAAAGCAACAGUGUGCUGUCUGAGCAUGUUUCGAGGCAUCGAAGCGCUUAUCCCUACGGGGAUAUCGAUAUGAUAAAGCAUGGCCUUUGGAGCGCAUGAUUUUAAGGAUGAAGAGCCCAAGAUUAUACGAGCAUUUGAGGGGCCACAAGAUCCUUGUACUUCCCAGCCGUGUGUGCCUCCAAAAGUACAUCAAGGCUUUCCAAGCAUCUUAUGGUUUUAGUCGUAAACUUCUUGAGUGCGUGAAGGAGAAGGCCAGCGAAAUGGAUGAAAUGAACAGGCAUAGAGGGCUAGUUAUAGAUGAGAUGAAACUUUCCACUCACCUGGACCUCAAAUCUACUACGGAUAUUGAAGGCUUCGUAAACCUGGGGAAGUUCACCGAAGCACAAGACAAGCAUACAAAAGCUGAUCGCGGCCUAGUUGUUAUGUUUCAGCCUUUCGUGAGAAAAUGGACACAAGUC
rnacentral:lncRNA from 1 species